GCCUGGAUAGCUCAGUUGGCAGAGCAUUAGGAUAACUACCUAACGGUCCAGGGUUCGAAUCCCUGUCCAGGCU